rnacentral:rRNA from 1 species
AGAGUUUGAUCAUGGCUCAGAAUCAACGCUGGCGGCGCGCCUAACACAUGCAAGUCGAACGAGAAAGUGGAGCAAUCCAUGAGUACAGUGGCGUACGGGUGAGUAACACGUGGGUAAUCUACCUCUUAGUGUGGAAUAACCCUGGGAAACCGGGGCUAAUACCGCAUAAGCUCGAGAGAGGAAAGCAGCAAUGCGCUGAGAGAGGAGCCCGCGGCCGAUUAGCUAGUUGGCAGGGUAAAAGCCUACCAAGGCAAAGAUCGGUAGCCGGCCUGAGAGGGCACACGGCCACACUGGCACUGAAACACGGGCCAGACUCCUACGGGAGGCAGCAGUGGGGAAUCUUGCACAAUGGGGGAAACCCUGAUGCAGCGACGCCGCGUGAGCGAUGAAGCCCUUCGGGGUGUAAAGCUCUUUCGGCAGGGAAGAUUAUGACGGUACCUGCAGAAGCAGCUGCGGCUAACUACGUGCCAGCAGCCGCGGUAAUACGUAGGCAGCGAGCGUUGUUCGGAGUUACUGGGCGUAAAGGGUGUGUAGGCGGUUGUCUAAGUUUGGUGUGAAAUCUCCCGGCUCAACUGGGGGGGUGCGCCGAAUACUGAAUGACUAGAGUGCGGGAGAGGAAAGUGAAAUUCCUGGUGUAGCGGUGAAAUGCGUAGAUAUCAGGAGGAACACCGGUGGUGUAGACGGCUUUCUGGACCGUAACUGACGCUGAGACACGAAAGCGUGGGUAGCAAACAGGAUUAGAUACCCUAGUAGUCC